CGCGUAGGCGGGAAUGCAAGUCAGAUGUGAAAUCCAAGGGCUCAACCCUUGAACUGCAUUUGAAACUGUAUUUCUUGAGUGUCGGAGAGGUUGACGGAAUUCCUAGUGUAGCGGUGAAAUGCGUAGAUAUUAGGAGGAACACCAGUGGCGAAGGCGGUCAACUGGACGAUAACUGACGCUGAGGCGCGAAAGCGUGGGAGCAAACG
rnacentral:rRNA from 1 species